UUGGCGGCAAGUUUCUUCAGGCUGACACGUCUCUUCUCGAACAUCUCCUGGACAGAGCUUUGCUUCUGGAAAACUUUCUCUAUCUGGUCCUGAUGGAGGACGGAGAACAGGGAUCAACAUAACAACAGAAGUCCGACAGUGUCCGCUGGAGCAAUGUAGUGGGACGCAACACCAGAACCAAGUGCAAGAUCCCUGGAAAUGAGCCCUGAGAGAGAAACAGAGGAGCUGAGUUGUCAAAUGCAGAGAGAAACCAGCAAAUGGCAGGCAGGCGACCUUGAACGGCCUUGAUGAGCAGAUUGUCUCACGGGAAGACGGACGACCUUCAUACUCCAGUAAGACCGAGCGUCAUUGGCUGGUGGACAGAGCAGGCGUACCCAAUGAGGACAUCUACCAAAGGGGAUCGAACAGAGGGGACUGAGGAGGACAGACACACACACACUCACCACCUGCUCUUUAUGCCUUCAGGUUAAGUUAUAAUGCUGCCUGCUGCCAUCAUGGACAUGCUUUUAUGUAUUCUACUCCCCCAACAUGAAACAUAAAAAGGAUUUA